UACGUAGGGUGCGAGCGUUAAUCGGAAUUACUGGGCGUAAAGCGUGCGCAGGCGGUUCGUUGUGUCGGUGGUGAAAUCCCCGGGCUUAACCUGGGAAUGGCCAUGGAAACUGGCGAACUGGAGUGCGGCAGAGGGGGGUGGAAUUCCGCGUGUAGCAGUGAAAUGCGUAGAGAUGCGGAGGAACACCGAUGGCGAAGGCAGCCCCCUGGGCUGACACUGACGCUCAGGCACGAAAGCGUGGGGAGCAAACAGG
rnacentral:rRNA from 1 species